ACUCCGGAACUCAGGAGGAUACAUAAGGCAGUUUUUAUGCUCUGUUUUCAUGUAAAAGUCAUUUGAGGAGAGUACAGAGUUUAUAAAACAGCUAUGAAGAAUGUUUGGCUUUUUUCUACUUAAACAGACUAAGGAGAAAAGUAGAGGACAAAGACAUUUCAACAACAGAAUGAUCAUACGAACUGUGUCCAGUCCAGUAAGGGAGCUGGGGGCCACGGGUGAAGGAACCUUUUGGUGGUGGUGCUGCUGUGCCAGUGUGUGCUGUGGGACACUUCUGAUGCACUAGGGUGUGUGGCUGGAGUGUGCUGUGGUGAAAAGUGUAUGGUGUAUUUCACGGGUGAUCACUCCUGUGGGUAGCCCCAGUCCUGUGAUUGAAUGGCUCUAUUUGGGAACAUUGAUUUGGAGAGUAUAAUAUGGAGUGUUUUCUGUGUGCGGGUUGAAAAAUAAUCACUUUCAGUGCCUUUUGUGAGUAAGCCCUCCAGAGUGGACUGGUCAUCAGGACCUAUUUUAGUGUUAGCCUUUUUAAAGAAUUGUGAAUAAACUUUUUUGUAUUUUUGUAUUUA